CCCCGCCUCAACAAACAAGCUAAGGGCUACCUUAGUUCUGCAGCAUCUUCCAAAGGACUGUCUGGAUCUAACUAGGUCCUCACCAUGACCUAAAAUGUGUGUGUGAGAAAAGCGUGCCAGGAUUCCCUCGGCUCCCACGAACAGGAUCCUAUUUUAAGAGCUGUAACCACUCACGCACACUGACCCUUUGGUCCUGUCUAGCACCCUGUGUGUGCUACCCACAUAAUGUAUGACACACCACUUCCUGGAAGUCCAUUUCCCCCACAGGCGCUAGAGCUUCUGCGAUGCUCAUGAAGUCCCAUAAAGCAACUUUUAGCUUAAGAGAAUUUUAAUCAACCAGUAUUCUUGAUUUGGCCAUCAGGCUAGCAAAUCUUUUUUUUUUUUUUUUUUUACAAUAAUUAAGUCUUUGGUCUGGUACGUUAAAAUACGAUUGAUAAUUUAAGUUAAUACAGAAGUUCAUUAUAUUUUAAUCAUGUCCCCGAAUAACAGUUCUUGUUAAAUGACUUCAUUUGUAGAGCAGGGAAGGAAAAUCCUGUCACAGUCAAGGGAGAACUGUGCUAAGACUUGCACAGCUUUUCAGCUUUUCCUAUGGGCUGACCACACCGUUCACCAGGUUACGGGACUGAGAGGGGAGGAGACCGAGUUUGCCUGUCUUCUGCGAGACAAAAGGAACAGAACUCUAAAGAGACCACGACAGAAAACCACAAGGAAUCAAAAUGAAGAGAACAAGUUAUCAUGCGGUGCCUUGUCCCAACUCAUCCAACAAUAAUGUAAUUCCUGCACCUAAGGCUCGGAGAACAUCUCAGAAGAGGGGGCAGGAAGACUGUAAGAGUCAGAGGACCAGGAUGCAGGCACCUGGUCUGUGAACCUGUAAUGGUGGCCACACCCCUUGGGUAUGGCUUGAUGAGGAUGGAAGCGGACGGAGGGAAGGGACUCCUUUACUCUGUCUUUCUGGUGGGUCAGCCGAUCUGUUAGGAAGGGCAGGGAAGCCGCUUCUGCGGUUCUUUGUAUUUCUGUGUAACUGUUCCCCAAUAAACACCCAUUUAUCAUU